UGCACAAAUAAUGCAAACUGAAUACAUGAAAGAUUUGUCGCCAAAUUUGAUUUUAACAACCGACACAGAUGGACAGGAAGACAUUACCCGAGGAGAAGGAAAAGAGAUCCAUUCUCGUCUUUCGAAACUAAUUCUUCGGUGAGAAGACUAUUUCUCUCUGGGUCGUCUACAGCAUCAAGAUUUGACUGAGUAACUCUGAUGUGUCUGUCUGUCCUGGCUGACAUGUAUCGCAAUACGAUCCCGACUGAAGACUGUAAUAAGAUGAAAUAAAUAAAUUGAAAAAGGGAAUGAAAUAUGUGUAUGUAAACGAAUAGAAAUGAAAAGAAAUAAAAACAAUACAUCAGCAAAAGGGCGAUGAACCGUCACCUAAAUUAGAUCAGAGCACACCGCGACACCAGCCGACUUCCACACUGGAAUCCGUUACUGUUUGUUAGUUGAUACAUUUAGAAAACUUAUGAGACACCGUCAUAUUCGACAAGGGAACGUAAGUGGGAAGAUGAAAACUUCCAAAUACAAUGCAGUUGACAGCUGGUAAGUUAUUUCGGCAACGUUCAGUUUAUCAAAUUUAAAAGAAUUUAAACCAUAAACUCCUACAAUCUAUACAUUUGGUGCAUAAAAAAAAGUUGAAAAAAAAAAAAAGGUCAGUUGCCGAGUGGAACGAAAGGAGAUAUAAAAGAAAGUCCCCACCCUAAAUAUGGGUUCAUGUGCAAGCAAAGCACCGACUGACAAAGUCAUUUUACCGAAGCCUAAUUCGUGUCAGUGUCAUCUAAUGGAAAGCCCCGAUAAAGAAACGGACUCCAUGAUAAGUAUUCAGCAAGACAAGACUUGUCUAAAUUGCUAUCGUAUGCAUCGACUUGAUUUCAAAUGUGGAUCUUACAGGCGUAUCAAAUCAAGUGAUACAUCAUCAGUCUCUCAAGGAACACAAACGGAUAUACCGCCACCAAAUCGAAAGAGCCGCCAUCGAAAAA
rnacentral:lncRNA from 1 species